rnacentral:tRNA from 1 species
GGGCUGGUAGCGUAACGGCCAUCGCACCCCGUUCGCAACGGGGAGACUCCGGGUUCAAGUCCCGGCCAGUCCA